rnacentral:rRNA from 1 species
CUGCUGCCUCCCGUAGGAGUCUGGUCCGUGUCUCAGUACCAGUGUGGGGGACCUUCCUCUCAGAACCCCUACGCAUCGUCGCCUUGGUGGGCCGUUACCCCGCCAACUAGCUAAUGCGCCGCAUGCCCAUCCUCCGCCGGGAAUCCGCUUCCUUUUAACACCCGUGGGAUGCCCCACAGAUGUACCACGCGGUAUUAGUCCGGAUUUCUCCGGGUUAUCCCCCUGCGGAGGGCAGGUUGCAUACGUGUUACUCACCCGUGCGCCGGUCGCCGG